AACGCGAAGAACCUUACCCAGACUUGACAUGCAGUGGACAGUACCAGAAAUGGUAUCUCCCUUCGGGGCCGCUGCACAGGUGCUGCAUGGCUGUCGUCAGCUCGUGCCGUGAGGUGUUGGGUUAAGUCCCGCAACGAGCGCAACCCUUAUCGUUAUUUGCCAACACGUAAUGGUGGGAACUCUAACGAGACUGCCUGGGUUAACCAGGAGGAAGGUGAGGAUGACGUCAAGUCCGCAUGGCCCUUAUGUCUGGGGCUACACACGUGCUACAAUGGUCGGUACAAAGGGCAGCGAAACCGAGAGGCGAAGCAAAUCCCAUAAAGCCGGCCCCAGUUCAGAUUGUAGUCUGCAACUCGACUACAUGAAGAUGGAAUUGCUAGUAAUGGCGAGUCAGCAACAUCGCCGUGAAUACGUUCCCGGGCCUUGUACACACCGCACUACUA
rnacentral:rRNA from 1 species